ACGGAAGGCAGCAGUGAGGAAUAUUGGUCAAUGGGCGAGAGCCUGAACCAGCCAAGUCGCGUGAAGGAUGAAGGUUCUAUGGAUUGUAAACUUCUUUUAUUCGAGGGUAAAGUGAGUCACGUGUGGUUCAUUGCAAGUAUCGAAUGAAUAAGCAUCGGCUAACUCCGUGCCAGCAGCCGCGGUAAUACGGAGGAUGCGAGCGUUAUCCGGAUUUAUUGGGUUUAAAGGGUGCGUAGGCGGGACGUUAAGUCAGUGGUAAAAGCGUGUGGCUAAACCAUACCAAGCCAUUGAAACUGUCGUUCUUGAGUGUAAACGAGGUAGGCGGAAUGUGACGUGUAGCGGUGAAAUGCUUAGAUAUGUCACAGAACCCCGAUUGCGAAGGCAGCUUACCAGCAUACAACUGACGCUGAGGCACGAAAGCGUGGGUAUCAAACAGGAUUAGAUACCCUGGUA
rnacentral:rRNA from 1 species